UACGUAGGGUGCGAGCGUUAAUCGGAAUUACUGGGCGUAAAGCGUGCGCAGGCGGUUUUGUAAGCCAGAUGUGAAAUCCCCGGGCUCAACCUGGGAACUGCAUUUGUGACUGCAUCGCUGGAGUGCGGCAGAGGGGGAUGGAAUUCCGCGUGUAGCAGUGAAAUGCGUAGAUAUGCGGAGGAACACCGAUGGCGAAGGCAAUCCCCUGGGCCUGCACUGACGCUCAUGCACGAAAGCGUGGGGAGCAAACAG
rnacentral:rRNA from 1 species